GGGAGUAUAGCUCAGUGGUAGGGCAUGUGCUUAGCAUGCAUGAAGUCCUGGACUCAAUCCUCUGUACCUCCA
rnacentral:tRNA from 1 species